GGUUAAGCGACUAAGCGUACACGGUGGAUGCCCUGGCAGUCAGAGGCGAUGAAGGGCGUGCUAAUCUGCGAUAAGCGCCGGUAAGGUGAUAUGAACCGUUAUAACCGGCGAUACCCGAAUGGGGAAACCCAGUGUGAUUCGUCACACUAUCAUUAACUGAAUCCAUAGGUUAAUGAGGCGAACCGGGGGAACUGAAACAUCUAAGUACCCCGAGGAAAAGAAAUCAACCGAGAUUCCCCCAGUAGCGGCGAGCGAACGGGGAGGAGCCCAGAGCCUGAAUCAGCAUGUGUGUUAGUGGAAGCGUCUGGAAAGGCGCGCGAUACAGGGUGACAGCCCCGUACACAAAAGCGCAUAUGCUGUGAGCUCGAUGAGUAGGGCGGGACACGUGGUAUCCUGUCUGAAUAUGGGGGGACCAUCCUCCAAGGCUAAAUACUCCUGACUGACCGAUAGUGAACCAGUACCGUGAGGGAAAGGCGAAAAGAACCCCGGCGAGG
rnacentral:rRNA from 1 species